ensembl:misc_RNA Metazoa_SRP Metazoan signal recognition particle RNA
ACAGGGUGUGGCGGCGCGCACCUGUAGUCCCAGCCAUGCUGAAGGCUGAGGCCGGAGGAUGGCUUCAGUCAGGAGUUCUGGGCUGCAGUGCACUACAUACUAAGUUUGGCAUCGAUAUGGUGACCUCCCAGGAAUCGGGAACCACCAGUUUGCCUAAGGAGUGAAACAGCCAAGAUUGGAAACGAAGGAGGUCAAAACUCCCAUGCUGAUGAGCAGUGGAAUCAUGCCUGUGAAGAGCCACUGCACUCCAGCCUGGACAACGCAGGGAGUCCCCAGCCCUUU